AGAGUUUGAUCCUGGCUCAGAAUGAACGCUGGCGGCGUGCCUAACACAUGCAAGUCGAACGAGAAAGCUCUUCGGAGUGAGUAAAGUGGCGAACGGGUGAGUAACACGUAAGAAUCUGCCCUUUAGUGGAGAAUACCUUCGAGAAAUCGAAGUUAAUACUGCAUAAGCCCUGCGGGGGAAAAACGGCCUCUUUGCCGUUGCUGAAGGAUGAGCUUGCGGACUAUUAGCUAGUUGGUGGGGUAAAGGCCUACCAAGGCGAUGAUGGUUAGCCGGCCUGAGAGGGUGUACGGCCACAUUGGGACUGAGACACGGCCCAGACUCCUACGGGAGGCAGCAGUGGGGAAUCUUGCACAAUGGGCGAAAGCCUGAUGCAGCGACGCCGCGUGGAGGAUGAAGGUCUUCGGAUUGUAAACUCCUGUUAAGAGGGGAGAAAAGCUUGCGAGUAAUAUGCGCAAGUGUGACGGUACCUCUAGAGAAGCC
rnacentral:rRNA from 1 species